AGGAUGAACGCUGGCGGCGUGCCUAACACAUGCAAGUCGAACGUCCUGUCUCGCAAGAGGCAGGGAGUGGCGGACGGGUGAGUACCACGUGGGUCAUCUACCGUGAGGUGAGGAAUACCGGCGAGAAAUCGCCGACAAGACCGCAUAGGCUCGAUGCAAGUCGAGCAAAGCUCUUUCGAGAGAGGGAGCGCCACACGAGGAGCCUGCGCCCGAUUAGCUAGCUGGUGGAGUAACGGUUCACCAGGGCGACGAUCGGUAGCUGGUCUGAGAGGACGAUCAGCCACACUGGGAUUGAGAACGGCCCAGACUCCUACGGGGGGCAGCAGUGAGGAAUUUUCGUCAAUGGGGGCAACCCUGAACGAGCAACGCCGCGUGCAGGAAGAAGGUUUUCGGAUCGUAAACUGCUUUUCUCGGGAAGAGGAACGGACGGUACCCGAGGAAUCGACGCCCGGCUAACUACGUGCCAGCAGCCGCGGU
rnacentral:rRNA from 1 species